AUGGAGUAUCAACCAAUUGUCUCCGUGCUGGAUGUGCACACAGAGCCUACCACCGUCAAUUGCCUCUUCUCUCUUGUGGCCAACUUCGACCAGAGGGUCGAGAUGUUUCAUGGAACGAAGCCGGCGGCUUCAAAUCUUCUGCAAACUCCAUCUCCCACGGCGGCGGGCGAUAAGGAGGUAACAAGGGCAGCUACCGCGGCAACCAAAACUAGAAGGGCAACGGUGGCGGUCCUCGUGGUGGCACUGGCUAUGGCGGAGGUGGCCACCCUAAUGGUGGCGGAUCCGGAAGUGGCGGCUCUGGCGGCUACGGCGGAGGUGGCUAUGGUGACAGCGGCGGUGGCGGCUACUCGAAUGGUGGAGCCGGAGGCUGCCACCAGAACAACUACGACUGUGGUUCCUAUCAUGGUGGUGGUGGCGGCUAUUAUCACCAGGGGAACUCCAGCAACAACAAUGGCAGACGCCCCCUCGAACGGCAAUAGGGGCUGA
rnacentral:rRNA from 1 species